UGUGACAAACGCCUGCCCGCUCCUGCCAAAACGAUCGACAUGUCGCGUUUUGAGGGAGAGGAAAGUCCGGACACCGCAGAGAACCAUAGCGGGUAACGCCCGCCCAAUCCCAUUACGGAGGGUUGAGGAAUAGUGCCACAGAAACCAGGUACGCCCUGUGCCGCAUGGCACGGGGGCUGUAGUGAAAAGGGUAAACUCUAUGGGGUGCAAGGCCAAAUAAGUCCCGUCAUUCUUGGUCUUCUCGGCCAACGAUCUUUUAAGAUCCACGGGAUGGGUAGGCUGCUUGAGCUGACCGGCAACGGUCAUCCCAGAUGAAUGAGCAGGCCUUUUAAGGCAUCAACCGCCAAAAAAGGACAGAAUCCGGCUUACAGUUUGUCAUCUCUA
rnacentral:RNase_P_RNA from 1 species